AGUAUGGUUCUCCUGCAGCUCCCUUCUGACACAUGAUUACGGUUGGUGAUUAUUUUUUCCUGUUGUGCCUCCUUACAGACUGAGUGUCUGACACAUGUACAGAGCCCACAAGCUGCCAUGAGCUAUUUCUACAUGUAACUAGGUGACUACGCCUUGCAGCUUCCCCUACGUUAUAGGCUUUUUAACUUCAUUAUGUGAUCAGGCAUGUUGCCAACUUUGAAGGCCAUUCCACACAUCUGAGUGAUCUGGCUUGCCGUCCAGGUGAUUUAAGUGCCAAUCUUGAUAAAGGUCCGCAUAAGGACCGAAACGUCGAUGAAAUACGGCAUCAACAGUGAACCC